AACACGAGAGAGAGAGAGAGAGAGAGAGAGCUAGGAGCUCUGACCCGAGAAGGAGACCCGGCCGCCGCGCCACCGAUCGCUGACGGACGACCACCAUCUGCUUCAUCUCCGCGUCGCCUACCUCCCUACAUCCUCAGAUCGCCCAUGCACCGGACGAGGAGGGAGACUCGACAGUGAGAAGCAGCGACUGCGCCGGCGAGUUUCUGCAAUUUCCGGCCACCGCUUGGGCCGCAUUCGCCACGGCUCCGCCGUGUUCUUCGACUCCGGCGACGUUUCCGGAACUUCUGGGCUUAGCUUCUGGUUGGAAUGCGUCUGUAUACGAAGGCAGACCUUGUUUAGGUAUUGAAGUACGAGAAUUACUGGUUGAGUGGCCAUCAGGUCGAACUCCGUCACCGGUCGAGUUUCGAAAGUAGGCUGGACGGAGUUGAUCAACUCGGCGUCGACUAGGCUAUCUCCAGCAACUGUGUUCUCCACCCUGAGGUCUCACCUGCAUGUCGACUACUGAAGGACUCCAGUUACCCGAGGAACGGAAGGUUUGUGAAUUCCGGAUAACGUAAAAGGUUAAAGCAUCGGAAUCCAGGUAGGGGACUCGGGACUCAUUCGGUUAGUUGUUUUCCGUUUUGAAUUAAAUGUUUAUGCAUAUUUGAGUUGCAUGGUUUGGUUAUUGAUGGCUUGAGAGUGAGUGGAACAUAGCGAUUCCUUGGGCUUCGAUCCCCUAAACCUCCGGAGGGGCCGUAUGGACGAAAUGGUGUCUGACAUCCAUUGAGGUGUGGCACUAUUUCUAGGUGAUAUGGCGUAAGUGGACACUCUCACUACGCUUACCUGGUGAUGAUUUUAUUUGAGGUAAGGCCGUAUAGUUGGUCCAUGGGACUGGCCAUCAGGUAUUAUGCAUUUCUUUGAGUUUCGUGCAUUGGAUUUUGAGUCCGAAAGAUAUUUAAAGUUUGUCGUUAAUUAAAGAAAUGGUUUAACUUUUUCAUAUUGGGAUCCCAAAUUAUUAUCUUAUGUGUCGGUUUUCAAACCUAGUCGGGUGAAGCCCCUACUGAGUAGCGAGGACGAAAGCUCACCCCUACAACAGUGUGGUUGCAGGUACUGUGCACUGGGAACGGGAUUGGAGCGGACGGAGCUGGGUGUGCAUAUUUCAAUAGAAGUCAGGUUCUAAGUUCCAAUCUUAUUCCUGUUCCUUAAAAUUGUAUUUUCGGAACUUGUCACAAUUUGUUUGUUUUAUGCUAAGUCCUUUAUUCCUCGGUUGUUUGCAACGUUAAGUCCUGGACGAACAUUUGAAUUUAAAAGUUUUAAAGUUUUCACCUCAA